UCUAUAUUCAUUGCAAAUGUUCUCAUCUCCUCUUUUCCCGGAUCACGGUUUGUUAUGUCUCUAUUUUGAAAGCCAAUAGAUAAUCAGGAAUAGUGUGCAAGCAGCAAUGACUCCAGAUAAGAUAAGGGUAUCUUUAGAUCGCUUCCUUCUGAUGGCACCUGCAAUGUAAGUGCCAUGAGUAUGAUGAACUCUCAU